GACAGAGGGUGCAAACGUUGUUCGGAAUUACUGGGCGUAAAGCGCGUGUAGGCGGCUAAGUAAGUCGGGCGUGAAAUCCCACGGCUCAACCGUGGAAGUGCACUCGAAACUGCAUAGCUAGAGUCCUGGAGAGGAAGGUGGAAUGCUUGGUGUAGAGGUGAAAUUCGUAGAUAUCAAGCGGAACACCGGUGGCGAAGGCGGCCUUCUGGACAGU
rnacentral:rRNA from 1 species